AGAACAUCUCAACUUUGGCACAACCUGAAGCGGCGGCCGAUCUGCAACUAGAUAGAAGUCCGCGAUGGAUCCACGAAGCGGAGAGGACACAGACUCCACUGCCUAAGACGAACGACGCCCCCUUUAUUUUUUUAGGGUUUUUUUGUCCUAUAACCCUUUGGAGAGUUAUUCUAAUGUCCCUAAACUUGUAGAAAUCAGUUUUCCUCAUUAAAAACCCUCUCGUUCACUUCUAAACAUCAACACUCAAGAAUUUUCAAGAAAGCAUCAAGUUAGGGUUCUUUUUCAAGAUUCUUCAACAAGGGUUUUCAAGAAAACAAGUCAAAGAAUUUCAAGAAAGGGUCUCUUGAUUGUUCUUCUUCAAGUUAAGAUUUUUCAUCAAGAUUUAUGGAGAUUUUAAGGUAUGUAAGGCUAACCUAAAAUAUGGAUUGAGUUCUUCCAUAUGCCCCAUAGAUGUGUUGGAUAGAAAUUGUGAAAGACUUGAACCCUCCAUAAACAUUUUCUUGAAUUUUCCUAAAACC